rnacentral:rRNA from 1 species
UACAGAGGUCCCAAGCGUUAAUCGGAAUUACUGGGCGUAAAGCGUGCGCAGGCGGUUUGGUAAGACAGGCGUGAAAUCCCCGGGCUUAACCUGGGAACUGCGUUUGUGACUGCCAGGCUAGAGUACGGCAGAGGGGGGUGGAAUUCCACGUGUAGCAGUGAAAUGCGUAGAGAUGUGGAGGAACACCAAUGGCGAAGGCAGCCCCCUGGGUCGAUACUGACGCUCAUGCACGAAAGCGUGGGUAGCAAACAGG